UACGUAGGGUCCGAGCGUUGUCCGGAAUUACUGGGCGUAAAGAGCUCGUAGGUGGUUUGUCGCGUUGUUCGUGAAAACUCACAGCUUAACUGUGGGCGUGCGGGCGAUACGGGCAGACUUGAGUACUGCAGGGGAGACUGGAAUUCCUGGUGUAGCGGUGGAAUGCGCAGAUAUCAGAAGGAACACCGGUGGCGAAAGCGGCUUCCUGGACCAGAACUGACGAUCAGGCUCGAAAACGUGGGGAGCAAACAGG
rnacentral:rRNA from 1 species